CUUAGAUAUAAUAAUGCUGUAGCAUAUUUUUUAUUUCAAUAUUAAGGUAACAUUUCAACCAAGCUCCUUGUGUUGAAAUUGCCUAUAGUAUUCUAAGAAGGCCACAUCGACAGACAUAUGCAUAUUGCAUAUCUACUUUGUUUAGAUACACACAACAUACUUAAGUUACUGAUACAUACAUAUACUAAUAUGCCUUUCAGAGCCCGUGUUACCUUCUAGCAGUCACUGAAGUACUUUACAGGCACAAGGCUUAGAGGAGUCUUCUUAGAGACAGUAAGACUAACACCGGCUCGCUCUUCCAUAUCAAUGUCUUCCUCCUGCAUCCCAUUAGGUAAUUUCCAAUCAAAGCAAUACAGAAGAUUUGCAAGUACAGCCUCUACUGUUAUUGUUCCCAUGUGCAUCCCAGGACAAAUUCUUCUACCAGCUCCAAAUGGCAAAAACUCAAAAUUUUGUCCUUUAAAGUCAAUUGAGCUAUCAGCAAAUCUCUCAGGGAAGAAGUGCUCUGGGUCCGUCCAGUAUUGAGGAUCGCGCCCGAUUGCCCAGGCAUUAACUUGGAUCAUUGUCUUGGGAUAAAUAUUAUAACGACUGAUUUUACAGUGAGACAUUGUUUCUCUUGGAAUUAGUAGUGGGGCGGCAGGAUGCAGUCUGAAAGUUUCUUUUAUUACCAUCUUGAGGUAUUCAAGCUUAUCAAUAUCACCUUCAGUUACUCUUCCCUUUUUUCCAACACGAUUUCUAAUUUCAUCUUGCACUUGCUUCAUCACUCUAGGAUUCCUUACAAGCUCUGCCAUUGCCCAAUUCACAGUAAUAGCAGAAGUGUCUACACCAGCUGCAAAUAAAUU
rnacentral:misc_RNA from 1 species